AAUUACGGCCAUACCACCCUGAACGCACCCGAUCUCGUCUGAUCUCGGAAGCUAAGCAGGGUCGGGCCUGGUUAGUACUUGGAUGGGAGGAGCUUUUAAAAUUUUAUGAUGACAUUC
ensembl:rRNA 5S_rRNA 5S ribosomal RNA